AUUGCUCCACCAUUCAGGAUAUAAAUAUAUCAUGACAUGCUCUUACUGUUGUCAUGAUCGCACUGACAACUGAAGUCUGUAAACCUCACAAGUCCUUAUAAACUUGUCAUGCAUCAAAUCCCACACUUGGAUUGGCCACCUGACAUAACCGCAUAUCUCUUAUAGUGUAAUUCUAGAGUAUAUGCAAGGCCUAAUAAAUUUGAAUUAA
rnacentral:lncRNA from 1 species